GUUGCUAUUGUGGGCGUCCACAACUUCACCGUGCCCCCCCCCCCCCCCCCCCCCCCCCCCCCCCCCCCCCCGCGCCCCCGCUCUCCGCCAUCAGCAAUCCCCGGUCACCCGCGCGCCACCGCUCUCCGCCAUCAGCGCCCGCUCUCCGCCAUCAGUGCUCCCCCGGUCCCUCACGCGCUCUCCGCCAUCGGCCACGUGAAGAUCCCCCGAAAACCUCCUCCACAUCAGCCCCCCCGGUCGCCCGCCGCCAUCAGCAUCUUCCACCUCGCCUGCGGCCGCGUCCCCCGCGCGCCCCCGCUCUCCUCCAUCUGCCGCGUGAAGCUCUCCCGAAAACCUCCUCCACAUCAGCGCCCCCCGCCAUGCCCCUGUAUCUCGCCUAGCACACGCCGCGCCCACGCAGGCAGCCGUGGAUCUCGCCCCCACCGUCGAGCUUCCAUGGUAGGCAUCCUCUUCCAUACUAGGCGGCCAUGGCAUGAACCCAUCCCCUAUCCGCGCCCCCAUCGCACGGGCCCUAAUCCUAGAAUGGUGCCUUCCUCCUUCUCUGUCGCCUCUGCCCUACUCAGACCUUCGAGACUUCCACUGGCGAUACACACCCACUAGGGAAUUCUUAGACCAACAUGAGGAGGAAGAAAUGCCUCAUGUUAUUAGUGUUACACCAGACGUACAAGAGGCCAUUGGACGGGAAUGAGGAGCUAUCUGCAAACUAUCUUCUUGAGCAAGCUGGUGAGGAAGAUUAAGCCAGAGUAGUUUUCGUAUGGGUACAAACAUAGCUUUGCGUCAAUCGAUGCCAGGCAAAUGUAGAACGCUUGGUAGCCGGUCAGCGCUAUGUGUAGAACACAUACUCCAGAGAUGAACAUGGAUCACGAGAACUGGAAUAAUUGCUGUCAGCUGCAUUGAAACAGGCAGAUCCUAUUAACAACUCCGCAUUGGCUCUCUGCCCCAGCCAUGGACCCAUGACAUCGGUGGUUUCGCGCACCUCAAAGACAUGGGUGGGGAGGCAUCGCGGCUGCUGCACGCCCUCUAGAGAAUGCUUAUCGAUCAUCAGGUGCAUUCAAUUACGCUUUCGGUUGCUGCAUUGAGAAAUGAAUCAGUCGAACUGUGAACCAACUACUUGAAAUUUCACGUGAUGUGGGGUAUAGUGGCAAUGCAUAAGCCCACAUGGAGCACUGGGUCUUCGAGGUGACACACUGACAUUGCAACUGAACACACUUGUCUAUGUGGCUAUGGCUACGGUAUACAUAGAGUCGUACAUUAGGUAGCUUAUUCAAUCAAAUAAUGUCCGGUUUUGUCAUGAAAGUGAUAAUAAUCUUCUAUAUAAACUUGGUCAAACGUAAGACAUUUCACUUAAAAUAAAACCAGAACGUCUCUCUUUUUCGGUGGAGAUAGUAUUAAUAUAAUUUCGAAAAUUCUGAUCUGCGAGUUGGUACUUUGAUAAUUCAAAUCCAUGUUGCCAAAAGCUAACUGAUAUAAUACUUUCUUCAACAGUAACUAUCAUACUAUCUGCAUCUUCUAUGAUCUAUUAAAGUACCUCACAAGAGAUCCAAUUAAUGAUUCACACCUGCAAGAUAACACCUGUAGUGGAAAUCCAGUUUUCUGGUGUGAGUCUAAAUAUUUCAGAAACAAUGAAAGCAUAGAAGAAAAUGCUGCAGUAGGACAAUACCUAAUUAUCAUGUGCAUGCCCCUAGACCCUCCAUUUUUCUCUUAGCGAGGAAGCAGAAAACCAAACUCAAAUACAAGAAAUAUUAGUCAAUACAAAGUGGCCAAAUUUCUCGAGACAGAAAAAGACAGGUGGGAUGUAGAAAGGGACUUAAAAGUUGAAACCAUUGGCCCCAUGUACUGCGGCAAAAUAUUUCUCUUCUUCUGGCAGUACAGUAGCUUGCAUCAUAUGUGACAUCCUCUUUAUAGUACAGGAAGUCAAGAAUAGCCCGAGUGCUCAGCACAUAUGCUACAUGCUCCCAACUACAUUACCCCUUCUUUGAAGUGGCGAGCAAAGCGAGAAGUUUGAGUGGGGCCCAAAACCUGAGUGGGGCCUAAAUAGAAACCUACUUACUAAUGGACCUUUAUAGCUACAAUGAAUAAGAUAAAAACUCCACUGAAACCAGAAAAUUGAGUGGGACCCCGUGCCCCAGUCAGCCCAACGUGAGCCUACCCUUGCUUCUCUGCUCAGACAUGCACAUAAACUGAAUUCGUCUCAUUUAUUUAUGUUUAAGGUGUGUCGUUUAUUCACUUGCUCCAGCUGCUGCUAUCACCCCAACCAAAUCAAUUUUGAAGGCCGAAUUAUCUAACAACAUUUCCAAAGGGAAUAUUUCAAGUUCACCUACACGGCCGCACCUUCUCCCGAACAACGUGGAGCAAGCAAUCAUUUCCUGUAGAAUAAUAUGCGAAUAAUGAAGUCAUAACACCUUUUGAUUUGAACAAAGGGAAAACAAUAAAUAUGAGAAAUAGGGUGCAAAUAAGAUGUCUAAUAAAGGUAUAAAUCGAAGACCAAGUUCUCAUGUUGCAAAUGUAGAUGAUAAUACAAAUGAAGUCUGGAGCUUACAGUUCUGCAGAGUUUGUUUAUUAAUCGAGGUUCUUUUAUUAAUGUUGAAGUUGUUGGAACUUUAGUUUGGCAGAGUUUGUUGCCUUUUCUUUUGGCUAUCAAACCUGUUUGUAUCUUUAUUGCUUUCAUCAAGUGGUAUUGUAUAUCGAACUUGUGCUUUGAUGAUUUCUCUUUUACCUUUUGAACAUAGGCAUAGGAACGGUUUUCUGAACUGGACCACAUUAGCAGGACAUCGUUAUGUUCGAUAGAUGCACAAAGCACUACUGGAUUCGAGGUUUCAGUUAAGGUUGAACAGUUCGACUCUGACACGUCAAGGCGCUAGAAGUUUGGACAAGAAGAAUUAUGAUCAUUAUAGUUUGGGGCAACCAAUAUCAUUAUUACGACAAUGGCUAGGGUCCAAAUGAUUCUCAUCUUCAAUUUUCGUAAUGAUUUGGUUAUAGAAUUACAAUUUUUUAUUGUCUUGAUAUUUUUUAACACUACCCUAAAUGGUUGAAUGGAUGCUAGAAUUAUGUCAAGAUUUUUCUGUGCCGUCGCAACACACGGGCACUGUACUAGUUCUAUAAUAUAUAGAUAUUUAGGACUGUAAUUGUACUCGCUAAACUUCACCGUAAAGCAGCUGUACAGGAAAUUAUAGAAUUUUAUGGAACACUCUUUUAGGCGUGGAACAGAAACCGAACCUAACUAACUAAAAAGUAUAGAAUGAAACUGAAAAAUAUAGAGUGGAUAAGUCAUAAACGUCUCCUUAGUAUAACGUGGCUCGAUACAGUGUUUAUUCAUCAAUCUUUUAGUUUUACAAAAAAGUCUAUAUAUACCGCAACUAUUUCUAACUAUGGUUUACUAAUCCUUGUUUGGAUCGACCCCAUAAAACUAGGCAACGUAUCAAGUGCAAACCAAUUUUUUGUGCAAAUACCAUACAAACUAACUAACAAAAGUCACAAAAAAUAUCAAAAAUGUUAUGAAUGUAUUUUAUUGCCUACUCUAUCAUUGUAUAAAAUUUUAAAUUCAAAUCCAUCAUAUAUUAAAACAUGCAAAAAAACAAAAUUCUGAGAUAAUUUUCACUUUUUUGUAUCUAAGAAUUUUCUCUUUUUUUGUAUCUCUUAACAUAUGAUGAAUUUGAACUUGAAAUUUUAUACAGUGGUAGAGUAGGUAAUAUAGUAGAUCUAUAAUCUUUUGAGAAUUUUUUGUAACUUUUGUUAGUUGGUUUGCAUGGAGUUUGCACGGAAACUUUGUUUGCACCUGAUACGUUGCCAUACAACUAAUAGGUGUUAGUUCAUAUUGUAACGAAAAUGGACUCCUACCCAUUUGUCUAAGUAAUUUUGGUGUUUGAUGAACAACGUAAUCAGUGAACUAAUGUUUUGCAGAUGUUUAUAUUUUAUAGUUCACAGGAUGCGAAGUGUAUUGGACUGUAAUACCCAAGUUGUAAAGAGAAAUAAAGGAGAUAAUUGUUCCUAUGUGAUUUGCCUCUAACAUUUUGAACAUAUGAAUAACCAUAUGUAAAAGUGAAUAAUUCUUUAAUAGAACCUAAAUAAGCCAUACAUCAUGCUGGAGUCUCUUUGUGUGUGCAUUUGGUAAUAAUAAUAAUAAUAAUAAUAAAGUUAAUAGAAACAUAUUAGUAGCUCAAUUAGAAAUUAAAGAUCUAAUUGGAAUUUUGGAAUACAAAACAAAUAGAUAAAAUAAUAUAUGAAUAAAUAUAUUCCUGCCCUAGGUUUUGAAUUUGUACAUUUAGCCCAAGGAGUGAAACUCAACCAAAUUUGAAUUUAAAAUUUGAAAUUCGAAAAUAGGAAGAAGGAAAAACAAAGAAAAAGGAAAAAUACUUACCCUACCCGCGCUUGGGCCUAUUCCUGAGUUCUCGGCCCACUUAUGCCAUCAUAGCGGUCCACGCGCGCGCCGCGUGCUCUGCGACUGACCGGCGGGCCCACUGGCCAGUGAACCGCGGGCGCUCGGGCGUGACUUCAAACACUGGGAACCAGACCCCACUGUUAGACUCCGUGCCCUCUCCCUCGAUCGCUCGCCGUGGAAAUCGGGCGCCGCGACCACUUCGCCGCGAAAUCCGCGGAACUGGGUAGACUAGACCACCCUUCUGGACCGGGUACAAAGGAAGCCCGGGCCCCUCUUUCCCCCUCCUAGCUUUUAACUUCCCUUACACAAUUGAAGCACCAGACCGAGGCAUAGGCGAGGGAGUCGGUGGGACUAUCCGCGGUGGAAUUCACCAGCCGUCACCUGCGCGCGGUCGACGUCGGUGUUUGGAGUUGGGGAACGGCGGGCGCAUCACGACACAUCGCUCGGUGGUCGAUGAUUGGGAGGAGGCGGCUCCGUACAGGCGGAAUUUCUCACCGUCGCUGGGAAAUCUCUGUGGACCGCACAACCACGUGGACAGAGCCGCUAUCGUCCCGAAUCCGGGAAGAACCAGUGACCGAGGAUCCAGGUGUUCAGCAGGUAGAAGUUGCUGAGCAGGAGCUCAUUGAAGGCAA